rnacentral:lncRNA from 1 species
CCUGCAAAAUCAAACAAAAGGUCGUUUUAAAAAAUAGGGGUGCAUGCACUCGUUUUCAAAUUAAAUCAGUUUGAAUAAUAAAAAUCAGUCGAAAAAUGCAUCUUUUCCCGAUAUGUCACAGUUUGACGUCGCGAAAAUAACAUUUUACGUUAGCAACGUCAUUACCUCCCCUGUAACUAUAUCGUAUGCCCUUAAUUGGCAGGAAAACUAAGAUUUUUUAAGAUAAACAUACGGACAAAAAAGUGUUUUUUUUUUUUUUUUACAAAAUUUACUUCUGGAUACUACCUGUAUCUAAUGAUCAUAAACAAGGUUGUGUCAAAGUAUGGGAGAAAUACAUGAUAGUUUAAGAAAGUUAUCAACAUUUAAAAAUCUUUACUCGCAGAGUGCAUACUUGUGGACGUCUCAACCGCCGACAGCAGAAUGCAUGUUCGAUAUGUUUCUCUCGAAGACUCGACAAAAAUGAAUUAUUAAUGGAGAAUUGUUACACAAAUGCAAAGUAUAAUUUUGUAACGAACACAUGCAUAUGUCUUCACCGAAAAUGACAUUAUUUUUAUGUUCAUGUUUCGAACAAUGCACAAAAAUAAGGAGAUGUAUUAUGAUUGCCAAUGACACAACUGUUCAAGAAAGGCCAAAUCAAAAAGAUAUAAGCGGCAAAUAUAGACAACCACACGAC